rnacentral:rRNA from 1 species
CGUCAGCUCGUGUCGUGAGAUGUGGGUUAAGUCCCGUAACGAGCGCAACCCUUGUCCUAGUUACCAGCACGUUAUGGUGGGCACUCUAAGGAGACUGCCGGUGACAACCGGAGGAAGGUGGGGGAUGACGUCAAGUCAUCAUGGCCCUUACGGCCUGGGCUACACACGUGCUACAAUGGUCGGUACAAAGGGUUGCCAAGCCGCGAGGUGGAGCUAAUCCCAUAAAACCGAUCGUAGUCCGGAUCGCAGUCUGCAACUCGACUGCGUGAAGUCGGAAUCGCUAGUAAUCGUGAAUCAGAAUGUCACGGUGAAUACGUUCCCGGGCCUU